GAAAGCCCUCUAAUAUCUCAGUUAAAGAUGAAAGACUUCUCCCAGAAGGCCUGCUUGGUAACGCUUUGCAGUGUGACUAGACAGCCAUCUUUCACUAAUACUUCCUUUGUACACUUUACUUCAAAUGCUUUCCUUGAUCAAACUACUGUAAAACAAUGAGACCAAAGAUGUGGGCCAGAUCUUUCCUAGGUAUUGUUCAGGUUGUCUUCGAUUCAGUGGGACUUAUGUUGAGCAGUUGGUUGCAAUGGUCGGGAGCAGUGGUGGUAUCUCCUUUAGGCAAGCCAAACUAAUACACUCUUCCUGAAGGUACAGACUGAUAGAAAUAAGAAGAGGAUUUUCAAGGUGUUAAAACCAGAAGGAACCCAUUGGCUCAGAAAAAUCGGUUACACAGAUACCUAAAUAGGAGUUGAAGAACAAGGUGUAGGUAUAACCAACUGUAAUCAUGAGGAAGAGAUCACUUUGGUCUCAGCACAUCUGCUGCACGUUGAUACGCUUCCCCAUGCUGCUGAGGUUGAAAGGGAAGAUGCGAGGGAUGUUUCCCCCUGCUAUUCCUCUCGCUUGGCUUGGAGUCCCACUGAGUGAUCGGAGUCGAGUACCCGUGGCUGAGAUGCAAGCAAAUGAAAGUCCAUUGGCAAAGUACAUGCGGGCUGCAUGGGAGGCCAGUUUUACCCUAAAUCUGCUGGUUUCUCUAAAAGAGGUUGUUCCAGCAAGGGCCAAGGCUGAGGUGUGAUGCCUGGAUGGUGCACAGGGGACAUUCGAGUGGUGUUUGUCCCCUGCCAGUGGCCCUGAGUGCCCUUUCCUUCAGUGCUCUUUCCCAUGCAUCAAGGGGCUGACGCUUUGUGCUUAUAAACAGGGAUUUUUUUUUUUUUCAAGUUGAUUUUUACAUCUGUGAUAUUCUUUACAAAGGAAAUUAAUUAGAUGGCAGGAUGGUUAAAGCUACACAAAUCAGAAACAGGAGGGGAAACAUUCUGCAGGCACAGACCUCCCAUAGAUCUCCCUGCACUCUUCAGGGUUUUCCCCAGGCACUUAAAUUUCUCUCCCGAUCCCCAAAAUUAAUCUCCUGAUCAUGUUUCUUCAGUCCCAUACAGUAUUUUUUUUCCACACUUCCCUGUUGUUUUUCAUAGGCUCUGUCCUUCUCUGAGCUCCCUCUACAUCUUUAGUCAAGCUAUUUAUUAAUAAACCUGUGUUUUCAGUGCGUCGGUACAUCAAUAAAGUACAGAGUAGUUCUGUUAGUCAGCAUUCUGGGAAAUCCUUUGCUGUAUUGAAGAACUGUAAAUCUCCAUUAUUGCUUCCCAUAGCACAAAUAAAG